rnacentral:rRNA from 1 species
AUUGAACGCUGGCGGCAGGCUUAACACAUGCAAGUCGAGCGAGCGGCGGACGGGUGAGUAAUGUCUGGGGAACUGCCCGAUGGAGGGGGAUAACUACUGGAAACGGUAGCUAAUACCGCAUACUAUCGGAUGUACCCAUAUGGGAUUAGCUAGUAGGUGGGGUAAUGGCUCACCUAGGCGACGAUCCCUAGCUGGUCUGAGAGGAUGACCAGCCACACUGGAACUGAGCCACGGCCCAGACUCCUACGGUAGGCAGCAGUGGGGAAUAUUGCACAAUGGGCGCAAGCCUGAUGCAGCCAUGCCGCGUGUGUGAAGAAGGCCUUAGGGUUGUAAAGAACUUUCAGCGGGGAGGCGUUACUCGCAGAAGAAGCACCGGCUAACUCCGUGCCAGCAGCCGCGGUAAUUC